GGACUACUGGGGUAUCUAAUCCUGUUUGCUCCCCUAGCUUUCGUUCCUCAGUGUCAGUUGCGGUCCAGCCAGCCGCCUUCGCCACGGGUGUUCCUGCAGAUAUCUACGCAUUUCACCGCUACACCUGCAAUUCCACUGGCCUCUCCCGCACUCGAGCGCGGCAGUUUUGAAAGCAGCCUCUGGGUUAAGCCCAGAGAUUUCACUUCCAACUUGCCGCACCACCUACGAACCCUUUACGCCCAGUAAUUCCGAGCAACGCUGGCCCCCUACGUAUUACCGCGGCUGCUGGCAC
rnacentral:rRNA from 1 species